ensembl:lncRNA SNAP25-AS1 SNAP25 antisense RNA 1
GGGGCAUGGAGGCUGCUGUCGCUGCAGCAGCUCAGCUUGCCCGGGGCGGGAACUCCCCCUUUCUCCUUUCGCCUCCCCAGCACCCACACCCUGUCUCCCCCUUAAUUCUUCCCUGGAUAAUAGCACCCUAACGACAACAGUCAUAAUAAUAGGGUUAGAACGACAGGGGAGGAAAACUCAACAGCCUAAAUAUCUCUGAAAACUGCAUCGCAAAAUGGAAGAAAGAGGGGGUCCCACUACUGUUUCAAAAGAGUAAGUUAUUAUUCGGAGCCAUGGAAGUCAAAUGCUGAGGAUGGUGGCAUCAUAGGAUGAAUGGAGCUGGGUUCUUGAAACACUGCCUGGAGGAAAGACAGCAAAAAUGCCUCAUGAAUCCAACUGGACUGUUAGGAUGCUCACCCUUGGAGACCAGCAACAAUGUGUGCAGAAACCCAGGCCAUGUGGAGAGGCCCCACAUACGUGUCCAACUGAGGUCCCAGCUGACAGCUGGCAUUGACAUAAUGUUCACUCUGGGGGAAGCCAGCUGCCACGCUGUAAGGACACUCGGGCAGUCCUAUGAAGAGGCCCGUGUGGUGAGAAAGAGAGGCCUCCAGCCAACAGCCAUGUGAGUGGGCCAUUGAGGAAGCAGCCUCAGUGCCUGCAGCCCUGACUGGCAUCCUGAACUACCACCUUAAAUGAGACCCUGAGCCAGAGUCACUACUUCCAAAUUCUUGACCCACAGAAAUUGUGAAAUAAUAUUUGUUGUUUUAAGCCGCCAAGUUUUGGGAGUAAUUUGUUAUAUAGCAAAAGAUAAUUAAUACAUUCACUUCCUAAGAUUAUGGUGAAGAAUUAAGGAUACAGCAUGAAAAGAACUUUGCUAUUAUUUUUAUUAUCUGAUCCAAUUUAUGUUGAAGGGCCUUCAGUACUUUCUUCUUUUACUCUAUCUUGACAUUUGUCUGAAACAUUUUUGUUUGUUUGUUUGUUUGUUUGUUUGUUUUUUAGAGAUGGGGUCUUGCUAUGUUUCCCAGUUGGAGUGCAGUGAUUAUUCACAGACAUGAUCCCACUACUGAUCAGCAUGGGAGUUUUCACCUGCUCCAUUUCCCACCUGGGAGGUCAUCAUAUUGAUGGCGAGCUAAGUGUGGACACCUGAUCAGCAUAGCACAGUACAGCCCAGAACCCCUGGGCUCCAGUGAUCCUCUUACUUCAGCCUCUUGAGUAGCUGGAACUACAGGCCUGCACCACUGCACCCGGCUAGUUUGUUUUUGUUAGAGUUUUGUCUCUAGGAUUUUCCUCAGCUGAGUAUGUGAAGGCUAACUUCUCCUUGUGAAUCUGCAAAUAUCCUUAUUUUACCCUUUAUUUUACCAUGUAUCAUUUACAGGUAAAUGAUAUCUUAGCUGUGUAUUGAAUUUCUGUUUUUUGUUUUUUCUUCAGUACUCUAUAAAUAUUACUCCAGUAUCUUCUAGCUUCUCCCAUUUUCUCCUAGUGAAUGGUUAUUCUGCUCUUAUCUAGCAGGUGAUAAAUCUGUCAACAGAUAGUUUUUCCUUUUUGUUUUAUGUGUAAGUUGUUAUUUCUUCCUUAAAGUUCAUAAUCUUUUCCCAUUUAUUCUCUAAAUUUUAGACUAUAACCAGGAUGUGUUUAGGUUGAUAUCUUUGCUUAUCUAUUCUGCCUGGAAAUCAGGAACCUCUUCCAAUAUUCAGACUUGUGUUUUCAGCUCAGAAUAAUUAUUUUAUCAUUUGUUUGAUUAUUCCUUUAGUUGCACUGGAUCUUAGUUAAAAUGCCCAUUCUGAUUCAAAGUAUCUGGAAGGCAAGUAUUUGUCAACUAAGGGAAAGGUGACCAUGCAUCAUUGGUUUUGCUGAGACUACCUGGUUUACACCUUCAGGCUUUAUACUUAGAAAAUAUUGCGAUCAUCUUCUGGUCAUGAAGUUACAAACUUCAGGACAAAGGCUAACCAGCUAAGACUAGCAGAGCAAAUUCCAAGAACUUGGGGCUUUAAUUAACUUGAAUUGAUUUGGACUUGCCCUACCUUUAACUUCACACUGAGAUAAAAAUUCCCCACAUUUUCAAGCCAUUUUUGAGAUGAGUCUCUUAUGGUUGAAAGCAUCCUAAUUUAUACAACAUCCUUUUGGUACCUAACUAAAUAUUCACCAAUAUUUGGCACAUUUGUUAAAUCUUUUGGUGUGUGCCUCUUCUAUGUAAUGUAAAUAUGGUCUGAAUAUCCAUUCAGAAAUUAUAGUUGAUUUGCAAAAAUAACUACUAUAUCACCUAUAUUAAUUGAUAGUUAUUCCUUCCCAACCUUCUUUCACUCUUCCAUAUAUAUACAGAGUAAAUCUACAUCAUUAUGUUGAUUAAACAAAAUAGCAGUGAAAUCAGGAUGUUACUGCUCAUUGUGCAUUUAUUUCAAUUAUGGAAAAAGCCAACACUUUACUCCCUUAUUUAACACUUCUGUAGAAAAGCAGUUGAAA